rnacentral:rRNA from 1 species
CCUACGGGAGGCAGCAGUGGGGAAUAUUGGGCAAUGGGCACAAGCCUGACCCAGCAACGCCGCGUGAAGGAAGAAGGCUUUCGGGUUGUAAACUUCUUUUGUCAGGGAAGAGUAGAAGACGGUACCUGACGAAUAAGCCAUGGCUAACUACGUGCCAGCAGCCGCGGUAAUACGUAGGUGGCAAGCGUUGUCCGGAUUUACUGGGUGUAAAGGGCGUGUAGCCGGGUUGACAAGUCAGAUGUGAAAUCCUGCGGCUUAACCGCAGAACUGCAUUUGAAACUGUUGAUCUUGAGUACUGGAGAGGCAGACGGAAUGCCUAGUGGAGGGGUGAAAUGCGUAGAUAUUAGGAGGAACACCAGUGGCGAAGGCGGUCUGCUGGACAGCAACUGACGGUGAGGCGCGAAAGCGUGGGGAGCAAACAGGAUUAGAUACCCGGGUAGUC